rnacentral:rRNA from 1 species
GAUGAACGCUGGCGGCGUGCCUAAUACAUGCAAGUCGAGCGAACGGACGAGAAGCUUGCUUUUCUGAUGUUAGCGGCGGACGGGUGAGUAACACGUGGAUAACCUACCUAUUAGACUGGGAUAACUUCGUGAAACCGGAGCUGAUACCGGAGAAUAUUUUGAACCGCAUGGUUCAAAAGUGAAAGACGGUCUUGCUGUCACUUAUAGAUGGUUCCGCGCUGCAUUAGCUAGUUGGUAAGGUAACGGCUUACCAAGGCAACGAUGCAUAGCCGACCUGAGAGGGUGAUCGGCCACACUGGAACUGAGACACGGUCCAGACUCCUACGGGAGGCAGCAGUAGGGAAUCUUGCGCAAUGGGCGAAAGCCUGACGGAGCAACGCCGCGUGAGUGAUGAAGGUCUUCGGAUCGUAAAGCUCUGUUAUUAGGGAAGAACAUAUGUGUAAGUAACUGUGCACAUCUUGACGGUACCUAAUCAGAAAGCAACGGCUAACUACGUG